GAUGAACGCUGGCGGCGUGCCUAAUACAUGCAAGUCGAGCGAACAGACGAGGAGCUUGCUCCUCUGACGUUAGCGGCGGACGGGUGAGUAACACGUGGAUAACCUACCUAUAAGACUGGGAUAACUUCGGGAAACCGGAGCUAAUACCGGAUAAUAUAUUGAACCGCAUGGUUCAAUAGUGAAAGACGGCUUUUCUGUCACUUAUAGCUGGUUCCGCGCCGGUUUAGAUAGUUGGGAAGGUCAUGGGCUAGCAAGGGUACGAUGCGUAGCCGACCUGAGAGAGGGGUCGGCGGCACUGGAACGUAGACGGGGUCCAGGCUCCUACGGGAGGCAGCAGAAGGGAAUGGUCGGCAACGGGCGGAAGCCUGGCGGAGUGACGCGACGUGAGUGAUGAAGGCGUUCGGAUCGUAAAGACGUGUUAUUAGUGAAGAACAGAUGUGUAAUGAACUGUGCACGUAUUGACGGUACUGAAUCAGAAAGCCACGGCUAACUACGUG
rnacentral:rRNA from 1 species